rnacentral:sRNA from 24 species
GCUAUUCACCAAACAGUGGACAAAGCUAGACAUCUAGUUCUAUCACUGGACAGAUAGCCAGCCUAAGUCUUAAAUGACUACGUUUUGAGGGUCACGACACCUACAGGUACUUUCCAGCCCGUAGCCCUGUC